UGCAUUAUUUUCUUAUUUAUCCUGACUUGACUCUCCCUUGAAUGAAUGCUUCACAGUUGGCCUGGAGGAGAAUGCCUUUCUUUUCUCUUUCUUCCAGAAAGGAAUGGGAAUUGAACAACAUGGAAGGAAAGAGAAAGGUGGAGACGUUCCCUUUUGCAGGAAACCCUCUAAAACAGCUGGCAGAAGUGAAGGCAAUUUCUUCAGUCAACACUCAGCAUCUUCACACAGCAUCUUUGGGUGAUCUGAGUCCUCUGCCCUGUGAUAGAAUAGGGGUCCUCAGGCAGUGCACAGUGCCUGGCAAAAAGGCACUGCAGCACCAUUGUCCCAGGGAAGCUGGGCUGAGGCAGGGUGUGACAGACACCUUGCAGAAACCACGUCUCAGAAGUCUCUGUUUUCAUUGUCUGGUACCCUGGAUGAAGGUCUCUCCAUGUGGUAUUGAUACAGCCAGCUCCUGCUCCUGGAAGUUUGUUUUACCUGCAGCUGCAGUAUUUUAGGGGAAUGUAUUUUAGGGAACUCUGCAUUUUAGAGGUAGAGUUGCUCUACCAGAAUGGAGUCAGACAGCAAGUUAUUUCACACAACCAUGCACAUGUCUAAAUACGUACUAAUCAUGAAGAUGGCCCUGCUAAACAUUAUGGCCCUGUUAUGGCUGAUGUACAAACACGUAUCAGCCUUAUCAUCCUCCUCUAACACCCAAACAGAAGAGAUGUCAAUAACUCUAUGGAAAGUCCAAGACAGAAAUUUUAUUCAGCACUGAUGACCAUAAAAAAUAAAAUCUCAUUCCUUUGUUGUUCA
rnacentral:lncRNA from 1 species